CCUACGGGUGGCAGCAGUGAGGAAUAUUGGUCAAUGGACGGAAGUCUGAACCAGCCAAGCCGCGUGCAGGAAGACGGCCCUAUGAGUUGUAAACUUCUUUUGUACAAGGAUAAACCUGAACACGUGUACCUUGUUGAAUGUACUGUAUGAAUAAGGAUCGGCUAACUCCGUGCCAGCAGCCGCGGUAAUACGGAGGAUCCAAGCGUUAUCCGGAUUUAUUGGGUUUAAAGGGAGCGUAGGUGGGUUGAUAAGUCAGAGGUGAAAGGUUGAGGCUUAACCGGGAAAUUGCCUCUGAUACUGGUGGUCUAGAGAGUAGUUGCGGUAGGCGGAAUGUGUGGUGUAGCGGUGAAAUGCUUAGAGAUCAUGCAGAACACCGAUUGCGAAGGCAGCUUACCAAUCUGUGUCUGACAUUGAGGCACGAAAGCGUGGGGAGCAAACAGGAUUAGAUACCCUAGUAGUC
rnacentral:rRNA from 1 species